GGGUUGAAGACUUAGAGAGCUCGCAGAGGAAGAAGAAGAUCUUAAGAGUAAUAUUUCCAGCUCUGAAAAGAAAGCAAUGGAAGGAACUACAAGGGAAAUUGACAUCAGACAUCAGAGAGUAAUUCAUGCCUAGGAUGCAGAUGGAAUCUUCUGCUUUGAAGCAUGAUUUUCAGGCUGUAGAGACCAGAGAAUGCUUGUCCUGGGAUGUGUGAGAGAUGGUUCCCAGAGAGACGCCUGGAAAUCAGAGACAAUGGUCAACGAUGUUGGCAGGGGCAAUCACCAGUUCUAAAAGGAGCAAAUGCAAUGAAAUACACUCAAUGCUGAAACCUGACUGAGCAGAGUUUAAUUGUGGAUGAAGGCACUGCCUGAUCUCCAAAGUCCCCAGGGAUAUUAUUAUGUGCAUCAGUUGCUACCAAGAGGUUUGUAGAUGUGGAGACUAUGCUGGCAUACCUCAGAAGCUAUUUUUAAAA